rnacentral:lncRNA from 1 species
CGGUCAUCAAUCGACGCCAAACAACCUUCUGUGGCUUCGUCUCAGCCUUGCGAAGCUACCUGCGGCGGUCUUGGGUCACGGCACAGCCGGAAGCGGCGGCGAAGAGGCCGGGUUCGUCCAGCCCCGAUUUGGAUUCCAAACAUGGUAGCUCGAGCUACCGAUCACGAGACCUUCUCAAACUCCAUCCACAGGUUCGUAUCAACCAUCUGAAACUCCCAGAAGCACCAUUGAAUGGCGGCGCUGUCGCUGGAGGCGGCUGGGGCUCACAACCCCGAUCGGAGCGAACAACGGAGCAAAGAGUCCUGAUAUCUCGAGCUACAGGACGUCGUUUUGAGUGUUUCUUGGACUGGUGAACUCAUAAUGAGGAUCUGAACAAGUUUAUAGAAGGGAUCGAGGCCUAAAAUUGAAGUUUUUACGUCGGAAUUCAAGCUCGCCGGAUUCUGGAAAUUUUCCGGCUACCGAAGCUUUCGAUCAAGAUAUCUCGAGCUGUAGAGCUUCG